GACCGAUAGCGAACCAGUACCGUGAGGGAAAGGUGAAAAGCACCCCGACGAGGGGAGUGAAACAGUACCUGAAACCGGACGCCUACAAUCAGUUGGAGGGGCAUAAGCCCUGACAGCGUACCUUUUGUAUAAUGGGUCAUCGACUUGGUCUAUCUAGCAAGCUUAAGCCGUUAGGUGUAGGCGCAGCGAAAGCGAGUCUUAAUAGGGCGCAUGAGUUAGAUGGAUCAGACCCGAAACCGAGUGAUCUAGGCAUGACCAGGAUGAAGAUAAGGUAACACUUAUUGGAGGUCCGAACCCACACCUGUUGAAAAAGGUCGGGAUGAGUUGUGCCUAGGGGUGAAAGGCCAAUCAAACUCGGAGAUAGCUGGUUCUCCGCGAAAUCUAUUUAGGUAGAGCGUCAUCCGAAUACCCCGGGGGGUAGAGCACUGGAUGGGUAAUGGGGCCCCACAGGCUUACUGAUCCUAACCAAACUCCGAAUACCCGGGAGUACUAGAUGGCAGACACACUGCGGGUGCUAACGCCCGUAGUGGAGAGGGAAACAACCCUGACCGACAGUUAAGGCCCCCAAUUCAUGGCUAAGUGGGAAAGCAGGUGGGACGACCAAAACAACCAGGAGGUUGGCUUAGAAGCAGCCAUCCUUUAAAGAUAGCGUAACAGCUCACUGGUCUAAAUAAGUUGUCCUGCGGCGAAGAUGUAACGGGGCUCAAGCCAUGAGCCGAAACUUCGGACGCGAGUAAUCGCGUGGUAGCGGAGCGUAGUGUGAAAUAGCACCACGCCUCUUUAGCAAUUCUUUUGAAUUGCCUUGGAGGCUUAGGUGCUUUCUGUGAAGCCGGGCUGUAAGGCAUCCGGUGGAGAGAUCACUAGUGAGAAUGAUGACAUGAGUAGCGACAAAGAGUGUGAGAGACACUCUCGCCGAAAGUCCAAGGGUUCCUGCUUAAAGCUAAUCUGAGCAGGGUAAGCCGGCCCCUAAGUCGAGGCAGAAAUGCGUAGACGAUGGGAACUAGGUUAAUAUUCCUAGGCCAGGAGGAUGUGACGGAUCAUGAAGGUUGUUCACCCUUAUUGGAUUGGGUGGGCCGCUAAUUGGUUCCUGGAAAUAGCCCUCCAUUAGACCGUACCCUAAACCGACACAGGUGGACUGGUAGAGCAUACCAAGGCGCUUGAGAGAACUAUGUUGAAGGAACUCGGCAAAAUACCUCCGUAAGUUCGCGAGAAGGAGGCCCGGUUCCUAGGCAACUAGGGGCUGGGGGCACAAACCAGGGGGUGGCGACUGUUUACUAAAAACACAGGGCUCUGCGAAGUCGCAAGACGACGUAUAGGGUCUGACGCCUGCCCGGUGCCUGAAGGUUAAAAGGAGGGGUGAGAGCUCUGAAUUGAAGCCCAGGUAAACGGCGGCCGUAACUAUAACGGUCCUAAGGUAGCGAAAUUCCUUGUCGGGUAAGUUCCGACCUGCACGAAUGGCGUAACGACUUCCCCGCUGUCUCCAACAUAGACUCAGCGAAAUUGAAUUGCCUGUCAAGAUGCAGGCUUCCCGCGGUUAGACGGAAAGACCCCGUGCACCUUUACUACAGCUUCGCACUGGCAUCAGGCACAACAUGUGCAGGAUAGGUGGUGGGCUUUGAAGCAGAAACGCCAGUUUCUGUGGAGCCUCCCUUGAGAUACCACCCUUGUUCUGCUUGAUGUCUAACCGCGGUCCGUUAUCCGGAUCCGGGACCCUGCGUGGCGGGUAGUUUGACUGGGGCGGUCGCCUCCUAAAGAGUAACGGAGGCGCGCGAAGGUUGGCUCAGAGCGGUCGGAAAUCGCUCGUUGAGUGCAAUGGCAGAAGCCAGCCUGACUGCGAGACUGACAAGUCGAGCAGAGACGAAAGUCGGCCAUAGUGAUCCGGUGGUCCCGAGUGGAAGGGCCAUCGCUCAACGGAUAAAAGGUACGCCGGGGAUAACAGGCUGAUAC
rnacentral:rRNA from 1 species